GCCAUUUUGAAUGUUGAUGUCCAGCACGCAGCAGUCUGACGCUGACAUUUACAAUUAUAAUUAGCACUACUUGCCACUUUCACGCCAUAAAAGGACAGUACUAACCGCACGGUGACCAGCAGGAAGUGGUCAGCUGUCAUGGCGGGCUAAUGGAGGUCAGCUGGCGUGACAUCAAGAAGGAAAAGUAUCUUCCAUAUGAGGAGGUGUGAACAAGUGAUGACAUAAAUCAUGGUCCCAAUAACAUUGCAUCUAAUAGAGAAUGUCUCAUUAGCACCCCUGGUGGUGACAUCUAUCAACAUGAGGGUGGUCCCAAAAAGGAGGGAUUAUUCACAUUGACUGUGUGUCGCUUUUAAAAGUGCUCCAACAUACGAAAUAAGAAGUGUGUGUAAGAAAUUGAAAUGCACCCCCUCUGGCCAUAAUUGAUAAAAAAAAAAAAAAUCUAUAUGUAUAUAGAGACAUACUGUAAUAA